rnacentral:rRNA from 1 species
CCGGCGACCGGCGCACGGGUGAGUAACACGUAUGGAACCUGCCCUAUGCAGGGGGAUAAGCGGAAGAAAUUCCGUCUAAUACCGCAUAACACCUUUAGGAGACAUCUUCUUGGGGUCAAAGGAGGCGACCCCGGCAUAGGAUGGCCAUGCGUCGCAUUAGCUAGUCGGCGGGGUAACGGCCCACCGAGGCGACGAUGCGUAGGGGUUCUGAGAGGAAGGUCCCCCACACUGGUACUGAGACACGGACCAGACUCCUACGGAAGGCAGCAG